rnacentral:rRNA from 1 species
AUGGCGGCGAGCACGAAGAAGCUCCGUCCGCUCCUGCUCACCCUCUUCCUGCUCCUCACCGCCGCCGUCGCGGCGCCCGCCAUCGACUGCGACUGCGACAAGCCCAAGGCCCCCAAGCCCUCCCACCCGCCCAAGACCAAGCCCCCCACCAAGGACCCCAAGCCGGGACCCAAGGGCCCCACCNNNNNNNNNNNNNNNNNNNGGCCACCUCCCGCGCCCGCCGGUCGUCGGCCCGCCGAAGGGCCACGUCCCUCGCCCGCCGGUCGUCGGCCCGCCGAAGGGCCACGUGCCCCGGCCGCCGGUCUACGGUCCGCCCAAGGGCCCCAUCACGCGCCCGCCGGUCACCAAGCCACCUGUCGUCGUCGGCCCGCCGGUGACCCACCCCACGCCGCCGGUGAGCGCGCCUCCGGUCACAUACCCAGCGCCACCGGUGACCACCCCUCCGGUCACCUACCCUGCGCCACCGGUGACCGCCCCUCCGGUCAUUACCCUUCACCUCCAGUCACCGCUCCCCCGGUCACGUACCCGACGCCGCCAGUGAACACGCCAUGCCCUCCGCCACCACCGGCGACGCCCGCGGCGCAAACGUGCCCGGUGGACUCGCUGAAGAUCGGCGCGUGCGUGGACCUGCUGGGCGGGCUGGUGCACGUGGGGCUCGGCGACCCGGUGGUGAACAAGUGCUGCCCGCUGCUGGAGGGGCUUGUGGAGCUGGAGGCGGCGGUCUGCCUGUGCACCACCAUCCGGCUCAAGCUGCUCAACAUCAACCUCGUCCUGCCCCUCGCCCUCCAGCUCCUCCUCACCUGCGGCAAGACGCCUCCCACCGGCUACACCUGCUCCAUCUAG